ACUGAAUAUACAGCGCCAGAACAGGAAACUGUUGACGAGGACGGAUGGUUAUCGAAAUUUCGGCGGAUGCCAUCCCGGAUAGAGCGAUUCGAUAGCUGAUGAACAAACCACCUGGGCAACUGGGUGAACAAAAAGCAUCAGCACCGCAUAAU
rnacentral:ncRNA from 1 species